GGCGGACGGGUGAGUAAUGUCUGGGAAACUGCCUGAUGGAGGGGGAUAACUACUGGAAACGGUAGCUAAUACCGCAUAACGUCGCAAGACCAAAGAGGGGGACCUUCGGGCCUCUUGCCAUCGGAUGUGCCCAGAUGGGAUUAGCUAGUAGGUGGGGUAACGGCUCACCUAGGCGACGAUCCCUAGCUGGUCUGAGAGGAUGACCAGCCACACUGGAACUGAGACACGGUCCAGACUCCUACGGGAGGCAGCAGUGGGGAAUAUUGCACAAUGGGCGCAAGCCUGAUGCAGCCAUGCCGCGUGUAUGAAGAAGGCCUUCGGGUUGUAAAGUACUUUCAGCGGGGAGGAAGGGAGUAAAGUUAAUACCUUUGCUCAUUGACGUUACCCGCAGAAGAAGCACCGGCUAACUCCGUGCCAGCAGCCGCGGUAAUACGGAGGGUGCAAGCGUUAAUCGGAAUUACUGGGCGUAAAGCGCACGCAGGCGGUUUGUUAAGUCAGAUGUGAAAUCCCCGGGCUCAACCUGGGAACUGCAUCUGAUACUGGCAAGCUUGAGUCUCGUAGAGGGGGGGUAGAAUUCCAGGUGUAGCGGUGAAAUGCGUAGAGAUCUGGAGGAAUACCGGUGGCGAAGGCGGCCCCCUGG
rnacentral:rRNA from 1 species